GGAGUUGUGGCUCAGAGGUACAGUGUUUGCCUAGCAUGCAUGAGGCACUGGGUUUGAUCCCCAGUACCCCA
rnacentral:tRNA from 1 species